UAGUCCACGCUGUAAACGAUGUAUGCUAGUUGUUGGAGGCUUAAGUCUUCAGUGACGCAGGGAAACCAUUAAGCAUACCGCCUGGGGAGUACGGCCGCAAGGUUAAAACUCAAAGGAAUUGACGGGGACCCGCACAAGCGGUGGAGCAUGUUGUUUAAUUCGACGCAACGCGAAGAACCUUACCCACACUUGACAUCCUUCUUGGGACUUUCAGAGAUGAUUGUCUUCGGUUCGGCCGGGGAAGUGACAGGUGCUGCAUGGCUGUCGUCAGCUCGUGUCGUGAGAUGUUUGGUCAAGUCCAGCAACGAGCGCAACCCUUAUCGUAUGUUGCCAUCAUUUAGUUGGGCACUCGCGCGAGACUGCCGGUGACAAGCCGGAGGAAGGUGGGGACGACGUCAAGUCAUCAUGGCCCUUACGUGUGGGACUACAAACGUGCUACAAUGGUAACGACAAUGGGCAGCCACUUCGCGAGGAGGCGCUAAUCCCAAAACGUUAUACUCAGUUC
rnacentral:rRNA from 1 species